UGCGGGUGUGGUGGAACUGGUAGACGCGCCGGACUCAAAAUCCGGUUCCGAAAGGAGUGUCGGUUCGAUUCCGACCACCCGCACCAU
rnacentral:tRNA from 1 species